rnacentral:rRNA from 1 species
CCUACGGGUGGCAGCAGUGAGGAAUAUUGGGCAAUGGGCGCUAGCCUGAACCAGCAACGCAGCGUGAAGGAUGACUGCUUUCUGGUUUUAAACUUCUUUUAUUAUGGGAUUAAAUUGUACCCUUGUUCCUUUUUUGCUUUACUUUCUUGAUCAAGGUCGGCUAACUCCGUUGCAACAUACGCUGUAAUACGGAGGAUCCGGACGUUAUCCUGAUUUAUUGGGUUUAAAGGGGGCGUAGAUGGGGUUUUAAGUCAGGUGGGAAAGUUUGCGGCUCAACCGUAAAAUUGCAAUUGAUACUGGCAGCCUUGAGUACAGUUGAGGUAGGCGGAAUUCGUGGUGUAGCGGUGAAAUGCUUAGAUAUCACGAAGAACUCCGAUUGCGAAGGCAGCCUACUAAACUGUAACUGACACUGAUGCUCGAAAGUGUGGGUAUCAAACAGGAUUAGAUACCCGAGUAGUC